GACCUGCAGGCGGCCGCGAAUUCACUAGUGAUUAGGAANNGGCGNGGGGAGCACCACAAGGGGUGAAGCCUGCGGUUCAANUGGAGUCAACGCCAGGAAUCUUACCCGGGGAGACAGCAGAAUGAAGGUCAAGCUGAAGACUUUACCAGACAAGCUGAGAGGAGGUGCAUGGCCGUCGCCAGCUCGUGCCGUGAGGUGUCCUGUUAAGUCAGGUAACGAGCGAGAUCCCUGCUCUUAGUUGCCACAGCUAUUCUCAGGAAAAGCUGGGCUAACUAGGAGGACCGCCACUGCUGAANUGGAGGAAGGA
rnacentral:rRNA from 1 species